CUGGAGGGGAGGAAGCAGACAAAUUGUUGAUUGUUCAACAAUUUGUCUGCUUCCUCCCCUCCAGUGGUUCAUCUU